rnacentral:rRNA from 1 species
GACGAACGCUGGCGGCGUGCCUAAUACAUGCAAGUCGAACGCAGUGGGGACGGGUGAGUAACACGUGGGUAACCUCCCAUCAGAGGGGAUAACACUUGGAAACAGGUGCUAAACCGAUACUGAUGGAUGGACCAGCGGUGCAUUAGCUAGUUGGUGGGGUGAUGGCCUACCAAGGCGGUGCCGGGUAGCCGGCUUGAGAGGGUGACCGGACACAUGGGGAUGGGGCUAGGGCCCAGACUCCUACGUGAGGCAGCAGUAGGGAAUCUUCGUCAAUGGACGAAAGUCUGACCGAGCAACGCCGCGUGAGUGAAGAAGUUUUUCGGAUCGUAAAACUCUGUUGUUAGAGAAGCGGUAUCUAACCAGAAAGCCACGGCUAACUACGUGCCAGCAGCCGCGGUAAUAC